ensembl:lncRNA
UUUUAUUUGAGUCACUCUUAGCCUUGCUGUUAAUUAGGAGUGUGUUUAUUUGCUUAUCUUAUUUUAGCUCAUUUUCACAGUAGUGUGGGGUGGCAGAAGGAUCUCCAGUCACGUGAUCGCGUUUCUCUGAACUGAUCAGGGUUUCUUCAUCGAGGUGAACAGACCCGGUGUGGGAGAGGGGUUUCAGAUUAAAUCAAGACCUGAAGAAAUAAAUAAACAGACCAGUGUCUCGUGCUCACAGUGGCAUUGAUCGGACAGUACAGCCGGACUCACGCGCUGGGAACGCGCGCGGUCUUUGUUCGCGCGCGCACGUGUGUGGCGUGGAAUUAAACCUCAAAUCCCAGAGCGCGCGCGUCCCAUUGGUCAGACUCAGUGCACAGGGUGGAGAAGACUUCACUCCGCACACUGAGCUCACAGGCGCGUGGGAUACAGCCGGAGUCUCUCCAGUCUCUCUCCACCAGCCUCCAUCAGAGCCUCCAUCAGCCUCCAUCAGAGCCUCCAUCAGCACGCUGUGGACUAGUUCUCUUUCUUCUACAACCCGCACAUUUCUCUCUCCAGGACCCUACUCAGAGUUUACUAGAAGAAGGGAGAGGUGAUGUGAAACGAUGAGACUGUAAGGAGAUAACCAGGCGAGAAGAGAGAGAGAGAGAGAGAGAGAGAGAGAGAGAGAGAGAGAAAGAGAGAUGGAGGAAAGGGCACAGGUUUGACUGACAGCAGAAGGAAAGUUAUCAGUGUGACAGUGAGAAAAGAGUGAGAUACUGCGUGUUACUGCGCGUUAUUGUAGUGUGUGUGGUGUUAGUAGUGUGUGUAUAGUGUUAGUGUAUAGUGUGUGUUAGUGUAUAGUGUUACUGUAAUGUGUUAGUGCAUAGUGUAUAGUGUUACUGUAGUGUGUUUAGUGUAUAGUGUUACUGUAGUGGGUUAGUGUAUAGUGUUACUGUAGUGUGU